rnacentral:rRNA from 1 species
UACAGAGGGUGCGAGCGUUAAUCGGAAUUACUGGGCGUAAAGCGUGCGUAGACGGUUAUUUAAGUCGGGUGUGAAAGCCCCGGGCUCAACCUGGGAAUUGCAUUCGAGACUGCAUUGCUAGAGUAUGGGAGAGGGAAGUGGAAUUUCCGGUGUAGCGGUGAAAUGCGUAGAUAUCGGAAGGAACAUCAGUGGCGAAAGCGACUUCCUGGACCAAUACUGACGCUCAUGUGCGAAAGCGUGGGGAGCAAACAGG